AAGGCAAGCAGACGGAGAAAUCUCCCCAACUUCCAAUGUCUUCAAAGAAGAACAAAUCAAUGUUUAGCAAACCCUACCUGGCAAAAAGUUUAGACUGGGAUAGAGAUUUCCUUACAAGUGAAGGUGUUCUGGAUUAUGAUGAACUGGCUAGCCUAAACAGCACGUUCAGCAAGAUUGAAGCAAGCUCACUUUCUGUAAUUCCUGAGUCAAAAAUAUCAACAGAGACGAAUUCAACUUUAUGCGAUGAUGAUAGCUCGGCCUUGGAGAACCUCGAAUUUCAUUUGUUUGAAAAAAAAAGUGCUUCCAUUAAGACUCUUGGUACUCGUGUAAGGACUUCAGGAUCGGAAAAAUUAAACAAGAACAUUCCAAGAAAGGGUCGCACAAGGUCUCUUGAGUUGCCAACCAAAGUCGAAGUUUCUCAGUAUAAGAAUAAGUCUCUUGUAGUACCAGGACAGUACGGCACUAUCAACCAUCGUCUUCAGAACACUUCGAGAUGGGUUACAGCCGUUGCCAAGGCAGGUUAUGAGGGACUUGCUGGUGGAAAGACAGUCUCAAAGCCAACUAGUGCUUUGCCUAAAUCAAAUCUGUUGACAGUGCCAGCAGCCAAGACAAUUUGUGCUCCUGGAAGCAUCCAAAUAGGAACUAGAGAAUCCAAAGAAAAAUCAGGCGAUGUAGCGGUGCAAAAAGUUGUAGCUUUUAAGCGAUUCAACAAAGGCUCAUCCGGCAGCGUUUUAAAGCCCCAAGCAUCAAAAGCUACCUCGAAUUCGACCAGCGGUUCAUCACGCUGGACGCAUAACUCUCCACCAGAGAACACAAGGAUGAGAUGUACUUCUCAGACUACCAGUCACUCCUCUUCUGGAUCAAUGGCUAAUAAGGCAUCCUCAUCUAAAUCAAAUACUAAUCAAGCAUUCUCAAAGAGUAGCACAGCUAGAACAGUCCACACUAGUGCAAAUAACUCCUCGACAGCUCGAGGUUUAUCUGUCGAGCUAUCUUUACCUGCAACUCCAAGUAGCUCCUGCCACAAUGUUGGUUCAGUAUCAUCUUCAUCGACCAUCUGUCCUGUUAAAUCGGUAAUGAAUGGUGAUGAAGCUAGUUCUUCAACCUCAUCACUAGUGGCAGUUGAUGCUAACAAAAUCCAUAAAACAAAUUCUAAGUCAUCUUUUGAUCCUGUAAACUCAGAAGACGACUCAUGCAUAUCGCAUAUUUCAAAAAAUUCCAUAAAUAAUCAUGCAAUGCCAACAUCUCGUAAAGGAAACAAUUCAAAGAACAGCCCUGGCAACAGAACAGGAGCAAAAUUGGGCAAACCUUCAGGUCCCAUUGUGCCACACUCUAAACUUGCUAACUCAGAUUUGAAGAAACCCGCCAACCGCAACGUUGGAACUCUUCCACAGACUAGCCCACAGCCCAAACUUCUGAAAGCCACAAGCCAAACAAAUAAGAGUGAUGCAGCAAACAAAGCAAAACCGACCAUGCCCCAACAUGCCAGACCUGCAACUAGGAACAAGACCAUGAAUGGUCAUUUAAGGACUACUGCUUCAUCCCGCUCUUCGAGCAUGGAAUCCCUACCAUUUGUCCAGUUUGAGCCCAGUGGUUCCAACGGCUCUUAACUCUUUUGCAGUUUUGCAACAUGACAGCCCAUUCAAGGUUUUCGGAUUCACAGAACCGAUUACACUCAAAGUUUGAGCCAUUCCUGAUUUACCAGAAUCACGGAAAUAUACAGCCAGACAACCUGCAAUCAUCAUUUGAAUGAACAUAUGCAACAAAGACCCAACUGCGCCUGAAUGAUCUUAUUCACAUCUUUGUUCUGGAGAAGAAGAUUUAAUUGCCAUUUAUUCUGUUGUAUAUUCUUAUUAAUUUGAUUGCUCUUGGUUAUGUUCAACCUUAAGAUGAGAACAACAGCAAACAAACUGUUGAA